rnacentral:rRNA from 1 species
UACGUAGGGUGCAAGCGUUAAUCGGAAUUACUGGGCGUAAAGCGUGCGCAGGCGGUUGUGCAAGACAGAUGUGAAAUCCCCGGGCUUAACCUGGGAACUGCAUUUGUGACUGCACGGCUAGAGUGUGUCAGAGGGGGGUAGAAUUCCACGUGUAGCAGUGAAAUGCGUAGAUAUGUGGAGGAACACCGAUGGCGAAGGCAGCCCCCCUGGGGAUAACACUGACGCUCAUGCACGAAAGCGUGGGGAGCAAACAGG